rnacentral:lncRNA from 1 species
AAUAAUGUUAUUUUUGAUAAUGGAGUUACAAUACUUUCAAGUUCUCAGCUUGAAAAUACAGAAAGAUUGCAUUAUAUAUGAUAAAAAAAUACGAUACGAAAAUAUCAUAUUUGUUUAUAACGUAAUGAGCCAGAUAUAUUGGUCGUAGUGAGAAAUUAGAGACCGUAAUAAGAGUCUUUUAACUUUUCGAUGUUUUAUAUAGAUUUUGGUAUCUUAAUGAUCUACAUUAUUAAACAUGAUUUAUGAUAUCUGAAUCUUAUAAAAAUAAUUUUUAUAAUUAAUUUUUCGAUAUUAUUUACAUAAUGACUAUCA